UGAAAUCAGCCAAAAACCCAGCCAGACAUCAGGGCUGGUAACUUCAAAAAUGUACCAUCCCAGAAGAGGUUUAACCAGUCAAUCUUAAAGAUUAAAAAGUGAGUGAGU